GUAGCAUCCAACUAGACCCGGGUAUCAGACCUCUCAUUGAGUCCUAGUUUGAGACUCAUGUUCAUAUAAUGCAAUUUAUCCUCAAAUUAGAGAAGUAAAAGAAAAAUAAGUUUUGGCCGAAAGGACAUUUAGAUGAUUACAUAAAUUGCAGGUUGUAGGUUGAAUUUUCAUUAAGAUGGAAUUGGAAGUGGAAAUGGUAUAGCUUUAUGUAGUGUAUUA
rnacentral:misc_RNA from 1 species